rnacentral:rRNA from 1 species
AUGGCUCAGGAUGAACGCUAGCGGCAGGCUUAACACAUGCAAGUCGAGGGGCAGCGGGGAGGAAGCUUGCUUUCUCCGCCGGCGACCGGCGCACGGGUGAGUAACACGUAUGCAACCUGCCCCUGUCAGGGGGACAACCCGCCGAAAGGCGGGCUAAACCCGCGUACAUGCCACCGGGGCAUCCCGGAGGCAGGAAAGGCUUCGGCCGGACAGGGAUGGGCAUGCGGCGCAUUAGGCAGUAGGCGGGGUAACGGCCCACCUAACCGACGAUGCGUAGGGGUUCUGAGAGGAAGGUCCCCCACACUGGUACUGAGACACGGACCAGACUCCUACGGGAGGCAGCAGUGAGGAAUAUUGGUCAAUGGUCGGGAGACUGAACCAGCCAAGCCGCGUGAGGGAUGAAGGUACAGAGUAUCGUAAACCUCUUUUGUCAGGGAACAAAGGCGGGGACGUGUCCCCGGAUGAGUGUACCUGAAGAAAAAGCAUCGGCUAACUCCGUGCCAGCAGCCGCGGUAAUACGGAGGAUGCGAGCGUUAUCCGGAUUUAUUGGGUUUAAAGGGUGCGCAGGCGGUCUGUUAAGUCAGCGGUCAAAGCCCGGGGCUCAACCCCGGCCCGCCGUUGAAACUGGCAGUCUCGAGUUGGAGAGAAGUAUGCGGAAUGCGCGGUGUAGCGGUGAAAUGCAUAGAUAUCGCGCAGAACUCCGAUUGCGAAGGCAGCAUGCCGGCUCCACACUGACGCUGAGGCACGAAAGCGUGGGUAUCGAACAGGAUUAGAUCCCCUGGUAGUCCACGCAGUAAACGAUGAAUGCUGGCUGUCCGGGGGGGAUUGACCCCUGGGUGGCGAAGCGAAAGCGAUAAGCAUUCCACCUGGGGAGUACGCCGGCAACGGUGAAACUCAAAGGAAUUGACGGGGGCCCGCACAAGCGGAGGAACAUGUGGUUUAAUUCGAUGAUACGCGAGGAACCUUACCCGGGCUCAAACGGGGAGUGACUCAGGCAGAGACGCCUGUUUCCCACGGGACACUCCCCGAGGUGCUGCAUGGUUGUCGUCAGCUCGUGCCGUGAGGUGUCGGCUUAAGUGCCAUAACGAGCGCAACCCCCGCGUGCAGUUGCUAACAGAUAACGCUGAGGACUCUGCACGGACUGCCGGCGCAAGCCGCGAGGAAGGCGGGGAUGACGUCAAAUCAGCACGGCCCUUACGUCCGGGGCGACACACGUGUUACAAUGGGUGGUACAGCGGGAAGCCAGGCGGCGACGCCGAGCGGAACCCGAAAUCCACUCUCAGUUCGGAUCGGAGUCUGCAACCCGACUCCGUGAAGCUGGAUUCGCUAGUAAUCGCGCAUCAGCCAUGGCGCGGUGAAUACGUUCCCGGGCCUUGUACACACCGUCUGUCAAGCCAUGGGAGCCGAGGGCGCUUGAAGUGCGUCGCCGCGAGGCGCGCCCUAGAGCGAAAUCGGUGACUGGGGCUAAGUCGUAACAAGGU